AUUGAACGCUGGCGGCGUGCUUAACACAUGCAAGUCGAGCGGUAACGCGGGGGCAACCCUGGCGACGAGCGGCGAACGGGUGCGUAAUGCAUGGGAAUCUGCCUGAUAGUGGGGAAUAACCCGGGGGAAACUCGGGCUAAUGCCGCAUACGACCUACGGGUGAAAGCGGGGGGACCGUAAGGCCUCGCGCUAUCGGAUGAGCCCAUGUCGGAUUAGCUAGUUGGUAGGGUAACGGCCUACCAAGGCUACGAUCCGUAGCUGGUCUGAGAGGACGGCCAGCCACACUGGGACUGAGACACGGCCCCAGACUCCUACGGGAGGCAGCAGUGGGAAUAUUGGACAAUGGGGAAACCCUGAUCCAGCGACGCCGCGUGUGUGAAGAAGGCCUGCGGUUGUAAAGCACUUCGGUGGAACGGAAUAUGCCGGGCCAUACCCCGGCAGGCUGACGUUACCCA
rnacentral:rRNA from 1 species